UUUUAAUUACUUCUCCUAGCCGGGGCGCUAGGGUUGCUAGGCGCGCGGGACUGGCGCUGCCACCCGCCCCUGGGCCGCCAGUUUCUUCCUGGCGGGACGGGCCGAGCUGGAUUCCAGGGCUGGAGUACCGGGAGAAAAGGCAGAAUGUGCAAGCCAGGAACAGAGCUCCCACCAGAACCUGACCAUGCCAGCACCCUGAUCUCAGACUUCCAGCUUCCAGAACUGGGCCAGAGGAGAGAAGAGGCUCUGUCCCUGGCUGUGCUUUGUACAAGAGAGAAAAUCAGCAACAGAGCUUAAUGGAUAUAAGAUCGGUCACUGGAAGCAGGACUAAUUAAGAUAAUUAUGAGGCCUAACGAAGAUAAGACAGAAGACAAGAACUACACUUUCCAGGACAAUUUGUGCUCUGACUAGAGGCCAUGAGUAUCUCAUACAAUAUGUCUAACAGCGAUUCAGUAAAAUAUCCCCAAAGAUCCUCCUAAAACGUAGACACGCAAAACACAGCGCAAUUUACUCUAUGGAUACUUUAUGGACAAGUGCACUGGUGAAUGAGUUUUACACUUACUCGUUUUAUGUUUUAGAUAUUGGCAGGUAUAGUGUAUGACCUCAAGGGACAGUCAAGCAAGAGUCUAGUGUUUCUUACCAACAGUCUCUGGGCACUUGGAGAAACCAUUUUUAUCCCUUAUUAAAUUAUAUAUACCCCAUCCCAGCAGGAGGCCUGGUGAUAUGCGGGAUCCUUCAGACCUGUUACAAUCCCUCCCACACCACUUCCUUGCUGGGUGACCUUGGGCAAGUUGAAUAUCUCUGAGCCUCUCUCUUACUUUUGUGCACGCAUGCAUUUCUGGCUUGUUCUAGGGCAAAGCACACAGAAGUCACACGAGGCAUAACUGACUGCAUCAGCAGGAGCUAGAAAUUAUGGAGCUGUUAGAAAAUGUAACUAGAUUAUACAUAUACCAUGUGAAAUUGUAACCAAGAGGAUUCUGAUCUGUAGAAGACCUAUGCUGUCAGGUUCAUGAGAACCAGCUGGCUUCCAGUUUUCUCUUAAUUUUCUUUGACUGUGAUGUGUGUAUGUUUUUUCCCCUCCUUGUUUGUUUAUCGCAUCUGCUUGCAACUGCUAGCAGAUAAACAGUAGCAGGCACCAAAAAUUUCAGAAAGAGAAAACUGAGCUGAAAUUUAAAAUUCAGGGACGCCUGGGUGGCUCAGUGGGUUAAGUGGCUGCCUUCAGCUCAGAUCAUGAUCCCAGGGUCCUGGGAUGGAGUCCCACAUCGGACGCCCUGCUCAGCAAGGACCCUGCUUCUCCCUCUGCCUGCAGUUUGCUUGUGCCCUCCCUCUGCUUGUGCCCUCUCUCUCUCUGACAAAUAAUAAGUAAAAUCUUAAAAAAAGAUUUAAAAUUCAAAGAAUUCUAUCCAUUGCCUUAAUGUUGUUUAUUUAGCAAAUUAGGGGGAAAGUCUUGUAUUCUAUUUUGUUAGAAAACGCCCUUGGUAGAUGAUGGACCCCAGAGCUCCCCACCCACAUUCAGAGAACACUCCAGAAAGCAAACAGUGGGUGAGGUGGGCAGGCCCACUCCACAUUUUUGUGGGAUCCGGGACAAGAAAUCGAAUGGUAGCCCACAUACCAUCUGUUUAAACACUAAAACUUAUCAGUCAGAUGAACAAAUUCUUAGAUCCAAUAUGUUCUACCUUUCUGCCUUCACAAAUACAUCUCUGUCAUGUCCCAGAAGGCCGGGUUUACAUUUAGAAUUUGAAUCUCCGGGGGGGCGCCUGGGUGGCUCAGUGGGUUAAAGUCUCUGCCUUCAGCCCAGAUCAUGAUCCCAGGGUUCUGGGAUCUGAGCAGCAGGCUCUCUGCUCAGCAGGGAGCCUGCUUCCUCCUCUCUCUCUGCCUGCCUCUCUGCCUACUUGUGAUCUCUGUCUGUCAAAUAAAUUAAAAAAGAAAAAAAAAGUAUAUUACAGAAUUUGAAUCUCCGGGACAUGGUGGUGCCAGGAGAGCCAACAAUCCCCCUCUCUUCCCACCCCUUGUGCUAUCCCCCACUGGAAGGGUCCUUUGUUGGGCGGAAGUAGAUUCCCAGCACAAGGCUUCAACCCGCAUCCCCAGUUGGCCCCUUGUCUCUGCCUCCCUCCAUUAUCCCAGCUCCCACCUCUACACUGGUCCCUCAGUGGUAGCCCGUAACUGGUCUCUCUGCUGCCCUGCCUGCCUCCUUGACCUCCGGCUCUCCCACCUCCCCCAGAGCAGCCCAAGUGCCCCAUUAGACAGGCACUUGGUUUGUGGCACUCACCUCGGCCAACCCCUGUGCCCUCCCACCACAUGCGGGAGAAGACAGCACUGAAUGUCUCAACCUAGCCCCGAGCUCCUGCAGAAAUUGGCUCUCUCCUCCUCUCCUUAUGCUCCAGACUCCUCCUGGCUCCCCACUACCCUGUUUGCCAAGCUGAGCAUCUCCCAGCCUCUGGGCAGUGCACUUUGCUCCCUGACGUUGGAGCCACUCCUUUCCCGUCAUCCGUGUCUCACCUUCUCCAAGAGAUUCCUCUGAGGUACAAGUGGCACAUGAGCCAACCCUCCCC